UACGGAGGGGACUAGCGUUGUUCGGAAUUAUUGGGCGUAAAGCGCACGUAGGCGGGUUUGUAAGUCAGGGGUGAAAUCCCGGGGCUCAACCUCGGAACUGCCUUUGAUACUGCAAAGCUCGAGUCCGGAAGAGGUGAGUGGAAUUCCUAGUGUAGAGGUGAAAUUCGUAGAUAUUAGGAAGAACACCAGUGGCGAAGGCGGCUCACUGGUCCGGUACUGACGCUGAGGUGCGAAAGCGAGGGGAGCAAACAGG
rnacentral:rRNA from 1 species